UACAGAGACUGCAAGCGUUAUUCGGAUUCACUGGGCGUAAAGGGUGCGCAGGCGGUUGUGUGUGUCAGGUGUGAAAGCCCGGGGCUUAACCCCGGAAUUGCGCCUGAAACUACAUGACUAGAGCAUUGGAGAGGGUAGCGGAAUUCACGGUGUAGCAGUGAAAUGCGUAGAUAUCGUGAGGAACACCAGAGGCGAAGGCGGCUACCUGGACAAAUACUGACGCUGAUGCGCGAAAGCGUGGGGAUCAAACAGG
rnacentral:rRNA from 1 species